rnacentral:rRNA from 1 species
GAUGAACGCUGGCGGCGUGCCUAAUACAUGCAAGUCGAGCGAACAGACGAGGAGCUUGCUCCUUUGACGUUAGCGGCGGACGGGUGAGUAACACGUGGGUAACCUACCUAUAAGACUGGGAUAACUUCGGGAAACCGGGGCUAAUACCGGAUAAUAUUUCGAACCGCAUGGUUCGAUAGUGAAAGAUGGCUUUGCUAUCACUUAUAGAUGGACCUGCGCCGUAUUAGCUAGUUGGUAAGGUAACGGCUUACCAAGGCAACGAUACGUAGCCGACCUGAGAGGGUGGUCGGCCACACUGGAACUGAGACACGGUCCAGACUCCUACGGGAGGCAGCAGUAGGGAAUCUUCCGCAAUGGGCGAAAGCCUGACGGAGCAACGCCGCGUAAGUGAUGAAGGUCUUCGGAUCGUAAAACUCUGUUAUUAGGGAAGAACAAACGUGUAAGUAACUGUGCACGUCUUGACGGUACCUAAUCAGAAAGCCACGGCUAACUACG